rnacentral:rRNA from 1 species
UCGAUUAGAGUUUGAUCAUGGCUCAGGACGAACGCUGGCGGCGUGCUUAACACAUGCAAGUCGAACGGACGAACCGAGAUGAAAUUUUCGAAUGGAAUCAUGGGGAGUUAGUGGCGGACGGGUGAGUAACGCGUGGGUAACCUACCCUUUUCACGGGGACAACAGUUGGAAACGACUGCUAAUACCGGAUAAGAUCCAAAUACCACAUGGUAGUUGGAAGAAAGAUGGCCUCUGCAUAUGCUAUCGGGAAAGGAUGGACCCGCGUCUGAUUAGGUAGUUGGUGAGGUAACGGCUCACCAAGCCUGCGAUCAGUAGCCGGCCUGAGAGGGUGGCCGGCCACACUGGGACUGAGAUACGGCCCAGACUCCUACGGGAGGCAGCAGUGGGGAAUCUUCCGCAAUGGGCGAAAGCCUGACGGAGCAACGCCGCGUGAGUGAAGAAGGCCUUCGGGUCGUAAAGCUCUGUCUUUAGGGAAGAACAACUAUAGUGAAAAUAUUGCUAUAGUNUGACGGUC